ensembl:lncRNA
GGCUCGGAUCCACAGAUAAGCUAUUUAAAGCUAAAAGCGCUCUGUGCGUUCAAGGAACUUUUCCAUGUUGUCAUUUGGGUGAAGGACCUACGGCUCGGCUAUCCUGUCACACUGGCCCGUACCAUUGAUGACCCGAUACAUUCUAAAUCACAAGAAAAAAGCACAGAAGAGGUUUUGGGCAGUCUGGACAACUUUCGAAAAAGUCGCUCGUACGCAUUGAACAACCAUUCCUGAAAGCUGUUUCUGCGUCUUCCAGAGGUCAUGGGUGUGAAAGUGCUCCAGUGUUUCCCGUUUUACAGACGCUGCAAGGAGCGAUGCAAGGGGCGACAGUGUCCCCCAGAGUCAGUGUCAAACGAGGAGCUGAAGCCUCGCCUGUCCUCCACGGCCUCCUGGAGCAGCGAGGGCGAGAGCUACAGCCCCAGCAGCAACCAGGUCUACUUCUCCCAUAAGGCUCGGCUCUCAUUCCGCCACCAGCUCGACAGCAACAUCAACGCAGUAGACGCCACCAACUGAGAAACUCACACUCACGUACAACCGCCGCCGUCACGGCAACCCUGUUACCUAUCUGCCAACCUCGACUGACACAGAGGACAUCACCUUUCAGCUUUCUGACGACGGCAUGCCGAGAAGAGAAGAGGAGGCAGUGGAGGGUGAGGUGAACGGUGACUCAGCAAUUUGAAGUCUGGAUGGACCACAGCACGAUGAAGUCAGACGCCAUCUCACAUCAGUGUGGCCCUGACUGAUAAAUCCUUACCUUACACUGAAACCAGUGGUUGCUGGAGUCGGGGAGAAGACUAAACAUACAAAUAACUUGGUGACAAGACAAAUUUGAGUGACACAAGUUUACAUCGUCAUUACCAUCAAGUGCUUUUUUCUUAGCCCGAGGUCUUUCUUUGUACACAAAUUAGUAUGAAUACACUUGUGUGUUUGUUUGUGUCAAUAAGUGUGUGUGGGUAAGCAUGGUGUUCAGCAGAUGAAGUAAAAAGGCCAUAACGUUACUGAACUUAACAGAGAGGUCCUAGAUGGGUGUUGAGUGUGGGAUAGAUCUAAAGCAGAUUCAGUGUGAAUCCAAAACUAAUCCAGAUUCAGCCGUUCGUUUGGGGUUGCAAGUGUUUUUAAAAGUCUGAGGUAAAAGCAAGUGCUUCUUUUUUUUUAACAAGCUUUUGAGCCACAUAGAUAUAUAUAUAUGUAUACUGACAGAAGUAUUGCACAAAUGUUCUGAUUUUUUUUACGCUUUUUGGAAUCAGAGGUUUCCUUAUGCAGUUAUGGGCUUUAGCCUGUGGAAUCUCCUAUCAAAGCAUUUUCUUCAACCUCUGUCAAAUUAAUACAACAGACAGCUUUUGAAAGUAAACACAAUGUGGUACUGGUGAAAAGACAAACACGGGAGUUUGUUUUGUAUGUCAUGCAAUCUGUUAGAGAUGACAAGAGAGUUUCUUUUCAAUACAUUUUUUAAGUGUCAAAGAGAGGUAUAUUUUUCAUGUUCAAUGUCGGUUUUCUAUUUUUCUUGAUGUUCAUAACUCAAAAUAAAAUGUCUUGAAAUCAUGACCUCA